UGAGAAACCUUGUAGGAUGUGCUGGGGAAUGACUGGAUGAUUACUUCUCUCUCAGAGAGCUAUCCCAUAUAACAAAUAAUGUUUCUAAAAACAUUAAGAGGAAAAGUUAUGAAGAAAUCUUCACAAUAAGUUGAUAUCCAAAAAAUGUCUGAAAACAUAUAUAAUGCUUAUAGACCUCCACUUCUGUAAAGGGAUUAACAUAUUUGAAAGUCCUACCAAGAUUUGAAGUUGAUCCUGCCUGAAUUUCCUACUAAAGUGAUCCCAGAUGUGUGAUAUUCACAGGAGCUAGUUGAGUUCCAGUUUGAACUCAAGUUGGCAGAUUGUCUGUGUGAGUGAAACUCAACAAUGAACUCUAUAAAGUAUUUGGGAAAUUGAAUCAAUCAUUAAUGAGCAGCUUGUUAAACUAUGGGCACUUCAGAGAUAUAUUCAUCCCAGGAAGUAUGUGAAGGGGAUUGCUUUCAGUU
rnacentral:lncRNA from 1 species